GAUGAAAAACAUAGUAAUUUGUGGAAAUUGAUGUGAGUUGUGAAAUUUUGUGAGCAUUGUGUUUUUGAAUGAAAAUUUCAGCAUUGAUGCAUUCGUAUCUAUGCUACAUUUGUUUCAGUAUAUAAGCAUGAACUAUAUGUCUUUACUAUUGCUAUGAUGCAAUGGUAUAAAUUUUCUAAGAUCAC
rnacentral:rRNA from 2 species